rnacentral:rRNA from 1 species
AUGUGUAAAGGUUCUGACCUGCUAACUGACCUCGCUGAAACCUUUGUCAAUCUAAGAAGAUAUGAUAUCAAGCUUAACCCGUCGAAGUGUACAUUCGAAGUUCCAGGUGGAAAGUUACUUGAUUUCCUCGUUUCCGUAUGUGGGAUUGAUGCAAACCCAGAGAAAGUUGGCGCAAUACUCCGAAUGAGAUGCCCUGUGCGCAUACACGACGUUCAGAAGCUUACUGGUUGUUUGGCCGCUUUGAGUCGAUUCAUCUCUCAUAUCAGUGAAAAGGCAUUGCCUCUUUACCGAUUAAUGAAGAAAUCUGAUAAGCUAGAGUGGACUCCUGAAGCUGAUGCAGCGUUUCUAGAGCUCAAAACCCUACUUUCCAUCCAGCCGGUGCUCGUCGCUCCAAUCAGCAAAAAGCCUUUACUGCUUUAUAUUGCAGCCACUGGACAAGUUGUCAGUACAGUACUCACGAUCGAGCGGGAAGAAGAAGGUAAAGCCUAUAAGGUUCAACGUCCAGUGUACUAUAUUUAUGAAGUCUUAACUCCGUCCAAGCAGAGAUAUCCGCAUUAUCAGAAGCUUGUCUAUGGAAAUUACUAG